GCGAUGGGGCGGGGGUCCUGGGCGGUCACCGCGAGUCCCCAGCCGCCAGCAGCAUCAGCAUUCCGGCGGCGCGGGAGGCCGCUGUCCUCGCCCGACCCCAGCCCGGUCCAGUCCAGAGCGCGCCGGACACCAAGUCUGGCCAAGCAAGUCACGAAACUUACCGAAAUGUGCAGUCUGGUUCAAGCUGUCUGUGAAGAGUUCCUUUCUCCACAACGUAUCUGGGGCUUUGCAAGACUCCUGAGGACUUGAAGUAGAAGAGGAUUCACAGAGCGCCAUGGUCUGGGUCAUAGCCCAGUCAGCUGGAGAAGAUGGAUGCUUCUACAUGAAGUACACCAGUUCUGAAUCUACACCCACAACCCUGUCCAUGCCCUGAUGGAUCAUCCUCAGGAGGUUGUGACUAUACCAUACACUGAGGACAAAAACCGAGAUGACCAGCCUUCAUCUACACCUGGCCCAGCACCUGUGACCAGAUGGGAUCUGACAGCGUCUGUCCAGUGUGGUCCUGUCUACAUCAGGCAUUCCUCCUCAGCCUCCUGGCGCUACCAGCCUUCCUCAGCCUGGCCCCCUCAACCUGCCCCAUCUACGGCUUGGCCACCACUGCAUUCUGGAGGUUCCGCUCAUCUCCACUUCCUAUCCCAUACAUAACCCAGGACUCCAGAGGUCACAUCUUUCACAUCUGGGGCAUCACCCCCCCCAAGGCUUUGAGGGGCCCUGGUAGUAUUCCAGGUGAUCAAGGAUGUCAGAAGAAAGGAAUAAUCCCAGAGAGGGAGCAUGAGCACCUGAGACAGGGCUUGGGGUCGCAUGCCUUAGCUUCUUAGUCCAAAGGCUGGGCCAUUGGGAUGAUGGAUACCAAGCAUUCCUUACAAUCCCAUUAUUUGUGAGGUUUCUCAUGAAGGUGGGAAAGGGCAAUAAAGCCGAGAAAGCCCUGGUCACUGAAUCCCUAGCUAGUGAAGUCACCUCCCCACAGGACACUUAAGGACAACCGUCCUCCUCACUGGCCUCCCACCUCCAGGACAAUUCCCGGACUCCAAGAUGUCCCAGGGAAGGUAACGGAGAUGGGCUGGAGGGCAUAGGAGGACACACUUCCACUGACCAUCCAGCCUAGCAAAGCUAGAAACCGUCAAAAAAUAAAAAUUCCAUUUGUAAA